rnacentral:lncRNA from 1 species
AUCACACUACAUACCACUUGAAGAGUGAGUGGUUCUUAUAAUAUAGUUAUAAAUUAUAGCUAAAAUUAAAGUGAUAAUAAUUUAAAAUGAACAUGUUCUUACAAAUCAUGUUCUAAAUUGCAGCUAUUCGACGUUCGUUGAUUCAAAUUCCAAGGCGUCGUUUCAUCGACAGAUUUCUUGAGAACAGACGGGCACAUUUCACAACUGUGAUAUCGGAUUGAGACAUGUGUUCUAGCUUGUUAUAGUAGAUACUUUGUUAGUUAUGUAUUAGAUGAAACUUAGUAAUAAUGAUUUGUGCUCUAUUUGUAUUAGUCGUGUGUCUGGUCUUAAUGGUGACUGCUUUGUAUAAAAC